GUCCAACCCAAACCCAUUUAACUCCGUAUCGCAUCCGUGUCGUGUUAUCGUGUCGUGUGAAAUAUUGCCAGCCCUACUAAUUGGGUCCCUUUCCCUGUCUGCCUCAUCUUCUUCCUCUACCAUGAGCUCUUCCAAGCUCUUACCCUUGCUCACUCCCUCUCUCUCUCUCUCUCUCUCUCUCUCUCUCUCUCUCUAUCCUCUGUUUCUUUUUCUUCGAUUCCCCAGCAGAGAAAAACAGGACAAGGAAGGAAGGGAAGAAACAAAUGGAAAAAGCAACGAAGAAAAGAAAGAAACAAAUAUGGCGGUGGAGAAUGAGGGUAAAUUGUGGGCCACGUGGAGCCCAUGCCUUCACUUUUUUUUUUUAAUUCCUCCAGCAACGCGUAUGGCAUACAUAUAAAUAUAUAUAAGCAUGUAAGUAUAUGUAUAUGUGUUCUAUUUGAAAUUGAAAUGUCAGGUCUCACACCAACCUUGUGGCACUCAUAUGCUCUCGAGAUUGGCUUCAUGGAUUAGCCGAUGGUUGUGGGAUUUCCGUGGAUCAACUCACUGAGAAUGUGAUGAAUUUAACAUAUUAGCGAGGAGCCAUCAACUCAAGGGUCUAAUAGCGUGGUUAAGAAUUAAUUCCAUUGAAGAUGGUACGUGGAGCUGGGUUUUUUCUUUGGUUGGAUGAGGGCCCGAUGUUUUGCUAAUUUAACUAUUGUCUUUUGUUAUCGAGUGUUGAAACUUUUGGUGAAGGUCAUCAAGUGCGGUUUCUCAUUUUGUUACUAUGAUCUUAGACUAUGAAUGUAUGUUGUAUGUGGAUUGUAUUCCACUUAUGAGUGUGUUAUGCAAGUAUGAAGUAUAUGAUAUUUACUUUUAGAUUGUUA